rnacentral:lncRNA from 1 species
UCAUUUUCAACAAACAUUUAAAGGUUUGUGGUUGAUCUAUUCUUUUUAUUUUAUUUUUAUUUCAUGUGUUUAUGUUGUUGAUGUUUCCUCUUCUUUUUCCUUCCUUAUAUAUUAAUAUGAGGAUGUCGUUGAUGUUUUCUACGUUUUGUGAAUCACUUUGAAUUGUGCGAGGGAUUUAUGCAAAUUAAAUUUGCAUAGGCUUAUGCAAAUAAAGAUCACGUAGAGUGUUACAAUUGUGGUUCAUAUGUGAGUUUGUUUUUAUAUAGACGUACUCAAUUUCAAUUUGUGUAAGCUACAUAUGUUGAGACAAAAUCCCAAAUUAAUAUUUUGAUGAUAAUUAAACAAAAGGUUAAUUAAGACUUCUAAUUAUGAUUCUAAGUGUUUUAGUAUUUAAUAUGUGUAUUUGAGUGUGUUAAAACAAGAUAGGUACCAAACAUUAUAAAAUAAAUCUUAUUAAAAUAAAGAAAGCAAAAUUAAUAAAAUGAAGAACAUUCUUGACAUAUUAAUGGAAAACGAAGAUUGUUCUCCACAUCUGUCAUACACAAGAAUGAUCAGAUUUUUAUGUAAAAAAUUAGAUCCAGGAAGUGUUAUCCAUUUCAUAUCUUCAUCAGAAAUAUACAAUGAUUAAUCUAAGCAAGAAUUAUUCCAGAAUUCUAAGACUCAACACUUUGCUUCAUAAAAUGCAUAAAUUAAGAUUAUUCUCCAAGUCAAGCAAACACAAGUACAACUGACAGGCUGUAAAGGACACUGUUGUUGUACCUUGAAACAGACCUGCACACAUGACUCAAAGCUUAGAAUCAUUUUAGACCACUGUCGAGAUCACAAAUAUAAGCCACAUCAUCUCAGACCAAUUCAAAGAACGUUCUUAGAUCUCAAGAACAUUCCUGGUUUCAGCAAGAACAAACUUGUUUUAUGGCUGAUCUUAUCCAUUUACUUACUCAUGACAACUGACCUACUUCCAACGAUUAAAUGAGUUGUCAUAAGCUCUCUUUAUGCCUAUAAAUAAAGCUUCACGGUGAAGAACAAACAAGAGCUCAAAGUGCCAAGAAAACAACACUCAUUCAAUCAUACUCGAGCUUCUCAAAGUCAUUCUAAGUUGCAGUUCCAUUUCGUAGUGUGACAUUAGAAUCAAUGAUUACUGAGUUCUAAUAUAUAUAAUCUGUUUCUCAAACAAGCAUUGAGCAAUACCCAGAUUCUAACAUUCUCAAAAUCAUUACUUUGUAACUCAAGGCUAUAUUGUUAACAUAACUUGAGUAGUGUGUAAAAAUCUUUUUUAUGAUUUAAAAAUGUACUUUGUAAAAUCCUUUCUGAAAUAGUGUAAGGUAACUGUGGAAAUCAUUUCUAGGUAAAAGGUAGAAACUGUGUAAUAGUUCAAGACUGAUAUCUGGAAACUGUGUGAAAAAACCAAGAACGUUAUUGCUUUGAGCACUUAAUGGAAAAUCUCACAUUUGUGAGAACUGGACGUAACCCGUGUUGGUUGAAACAUGAUAUAUACUUGUGUGAUCUCUCUAUCCAUAUCUCUAUUUAUUAUUUGUCUUACAUAUAUUUUUUAUAUUGAUAAAUUGAUAUUGUUGUUUUUCCAUUAACCAAUAACGUUCUUCGUUUGUAACCAAGAUCAAUCUUGAGUUAAACUUUUAGUUUUUUAACAUGAAUUUUUAAAAAGGGCAAUUAUAAUUCAAACCCCUUCCUUAUAAUUGACAUUGUUACUUCAACAUAGUUUUAGUUAAUGUAGGUUGUUAUUUUUUGUGGCAUGUGCAUGAAAUGGAUUCAUGGAAACCUACAUAAAUUGAAUUUACGUAGGUAUUUUUUUUUUUACUCUAAUAUGUUGUUAUGAUGGUAAUUGACUACAAGAAUGUAUACAUAUUUGUUUGCAGGCAUGGUGCACACUAUGUUUACUAACCACGAGGGUCGUGUAAGAGUUAAUACAUCUUAUGACCACGAGGCUCGUGUUAGACCAACCACUUCUAUGCGGCUCAUUGACGAUGCAACAAUCAUCCAACGUCUUUGAAGCAUCCAUACCAUCCAGAUGAUAUGGAUCAACCUCUACAACCAACUGUAGAGGAGCCCUAACAAAAACACGAGGGUUUAAUAGUUUAUGGAUUCCUUGAUUAUCCUUCUGACACAAUCAUUAGAUUAUUUGGUGACCAUGUAACUUCUCCACUUUGGGAUAGAGUGACAAUUUUGUAGUUAUAUUAAUUUUUCAUAGUUGUUGUCA